rfam:Microgenomates (Amesbacteria) bacterium GW2011_GWC1_46_24 TX46_C0001, whole genome shotgun sequence.
GGAGAGGUCGCAUAGUGGUCUAGUGCGAAGGUCUUGAAAACCUUUGUGGGCGCAAGCUCACCGCGAGUUCGAAUCUCGCCCUCUCCG